ACGAUUAUUAUAACCGCCGUUUGCAAAUUUUGAACAACCGAGAAAAAUGAAGCAGUUCUGAUUCCAAAUGAACGUCAGGGAGAAUUGAAAAUUGUGGAAAUCCAGGAAGUUUGCACAUUUCGAAGAUGUUUAAAAUGAAGUAGAAACUAAUUAUUUAUGUUACCAAUUUUUAUGUGAUUACUGUAUGUAUUAAUAUAUAUUGAAAAUUAUUUUAUCAAGUUGCAUUUAA
rnacentral:misc_RNA from 1 species